UACGUAGGGGGCAAGCGUUGUCCGGAUUUAUUGGGCGUAAAGAGCGUGUAGGCGGCUUGGUAGGUUUUGCGUCAAAACCUGAGGCUCAACCUCAGUUCGCGUGGGAAACCACCUAGCUAGAGUCCGGAAGAGGAGAACGGAAUUCCCAGUGUAGCGGUGAAAUGCGCAGAUAUUGGGAAGAACACCAGUGGCGAAGGCGGUUCUCUGGGACGGUACUGACGCUGAGACGCGAAAAGCGUGGGGAGCGAACGAGG
rnacentral:rRNA from 1 species